rnacentral:rRNA from 1 species
AACGAACGCUGGCGGCGUGCCUAACACAUGCAAGUCGAACGAGACGUUCGGGUCUAUGUGCGCAGGGGGGGGUAACGCGGGGUAACCUGCCCGUAGGUUCGGAAUAACUCCCUGAGAGGGGUGCUAAUACCGGAUAAGGUCUUCGGAGCAAAGAGUUAUCGCCGUUGGCUGGGGCCGUGUUGGCUUAGCUGGUUGGUAGGGUAAAAGCAUACCAAGGCGACGAUCCAUAGCUGGUCGGAGAGGAUGAUCAUGCAGGCUGGGACUGCGACCCGGACUAGACGCCUACGCGACGCAGCAGUAUGGAAUAUUGGGCGCUGGGCCCAAGUCUGACAACGCCACGCCGCGUGAGUGAUCAAGGCCUUAGGGUUCCAAAGCCGUUUUACCCGGGAUGAUAAUGACAGUACCGGGAGAAUAAGCUCCGGCUAACUCCGUG